AACGAACGCUGGCGGCAUGCCUAACACAUGCAAGUCGAACGAGACCUUCGGGUCUAGUGGCGCACGGGUGCGUAACGCGUGGGAACCUGCCCUUAGGUUCGGAAUAACUCCCCGAAAGGGGUGCUAAUACCGGAUAAUGUCUUCGGACCAAAGAUUUAUCGCCUUUGGAUGGCCCCGCGUUGGAUUAGCUAGUUGGUAGGGUAAAAGCCUACCAAGGCGACGAUCCAUAGCUGGUCUGAGAGGAUGACCAGCCACACUGGGACUGAGACACGGCCCAGACUCUUACGGGAGGCAGCAGUGGGGAAUAUUGGACAAUGGGCGAAAGCCUGAUCCAGCAAUGCCGCGUGAGUGAUGAAGGCCUUAGGGUUGUAAAGCUCUUUUACCCGGGAUGAUAAUGACAGUACCGGGAGAAUAAGCUCCGGCUAACUCCGUG
rnacentral:rRNA from 1 species